rnacentral:lncRNA from 12 species
CUGCCGCGCCUGCGCGGCGCGUGCCCGGGCAGCCGUUAGGGCGCGUGCGCUGUGAAGGGCGCGCCGGUCGCCUCGGCCCGCGGCGUCCGAGUUUGCGGGUGCUGGGGAAUGUUGAGGGGUUAUCCUGGAGAUCGUCUGGUGUCAACUCCCUCUGCCAGGGUUUGUAUCCAGUACUUCUUGUCUCAUCACUACAGUUCCUGAUGAAGAGUCCCUCUCCCAUUUCCUUGUUGGCUCCCUUCAGGGUUGCUCUCAAUCACUUAUCUGUCCAGCGUAUUGGUGUUCCUGGGAUUGCCAAGACCCAGCUGUAGGACCUGGCAUUUGGAUCUGUUUGGCUUCAUGAGGUUUGCCUCGGGCCACACUCAAGCCUGUGAAGGUCCCUUUGGAUGGCAUUGCUUCACUCCAGCGUUUCCACUGCACCAUACAGCUUGGAGCUGUCAACAGAUUUGCUGAGUCUGCAGGCUCAGAGGAAAUGUGAAUUCAGAUGGCAGAAUCUUUGUGUUGAGACAGGCUGGGAGUCAAACAAAUAUCUUGAGACCGGGAUCACUUUUGAUGCUUUGCCUCACACAGGAAAGGGCUGUCUGUAUGAUGUUCAUACUUCACCAUCAGAAUAUGUGUCUGCCCCUCUGGCUUUGAAAAUUGGUUUACUGAUGUUAUCCAUGAAAACAAAAUGUCACCUGAGCAUAAAGGUAUAAUUAUUGCAUUUGUCCAGUUUUUUAAAAAGGAUUUU